ensembl:misc_RNA Y_RNA Y RNA
GACUGGUCCAGAGGUAGCAAGUUAUCUCAAUCUCAAUUGUUCACGGUCAGUUAUAGAUUAAACUCUUUGUUAUAUUUCCGCCCCCCACCCCCAGCUCCUUCUCACUACUGCACUUGACUAGUUUUAG